rnacentral:ncRNA from 1 species
UGUCGAUAAAGCCAAACCACGAGUGAUCGUGGGACGGAAAGCCACGCCUGCGUGCCGAAACGCCUGCUUACCGCAGGCCUAUCAAGAGUAGCAUGCGGGAGUGCUUGCAAGCCGAUACGUCAACCAUACAAUGACGGCACUACGGCGUGCAGGCACGGGUCCAGGAAGAAACCCAGAUGGGUAGCCGGGAAUUCCCUGGAUCGCCGGGUUGCCGAA